AGCGAACGCUGGCAGCAGGCUUAACACAUGCAAGUCGAGCGGGCACUUUCGGGUGUCAGCGGCGGACGGGUGAGUAACGCGUGGGAACGUGCCCUCUGGUUCGGAAUAACUCAGGGAAACUUGAGCUAAUACCGGAUACGCCCUUUUGGGGAAAGGCUUGCUGCCGGAGGAUCGGCCCGCGUCUGAUUAGCUAGUUGGUGAGGUAACGGCUCACCAAGGCGACGAUCAGUAGCUGGUCUGAGAGGAUGAUCAGCCACACUGGGACUGAGACACGGCCCAGACUCCUACGGGAGGCAGCAGUGGGGAAUAUUGGACAAUGGGCGCAAGCCUGAUCCAGCCAUGCCGCGUGAGUGAUCAAGGCCUUAGGGUUGUAAAGCUCUUUUAUCCGGGACGAUAAUGACGGUACCGGAGGAAUAAGCCCCGGCUAACUUCGUG
rnacentral:rRNA from 1 species